CUAAACUGAGGAAAGUCGGCCGAAACUGAUCGACUCGAGGAACGUAGAGGGAAGCGGAACUCUCGGAGUAGCGGUGAAAUGCGUAGAGACCGAGAGGUACCCCGAUGGUGAAGACAGCUUCCUGGGCGUUUCCUGACGCUGAAGCACUAAGGCCGGGGGAGCGAAGGGGAUUAGAUACCCCCGUAGUCCUGGCUUCAAACGAUGUGGGCUUGGUGUCGGCCCCCGACAGAGGGUCGUUGCCGGAGCUAACGUGUUAAGCCCACCGCCUGGGGAUUACGUCCGCAAGGAUGAAACUCAAGGGAAUUGACGGGGGCCCACACAACCGGUGGAGCACGUGGUUUAAUUCGAUGAUAAGCGAAGAACCUUACCAGGGCUUGACCUAGCGGUAGUAGGAUCCUGAAAGGGAAACGACCUCAAGCUUUGCUUGAGGAGCC
rnacentral:rRNA from 1 species